rnacentral:rRNA from 1 species
UGCCAGCCGCCGCGGUAAGACGGAGGGUGCGAGCGUUAAUCGGAAUUACUGGGCGUAAAGCGCACGUAGGCGGUGGUGUAAGUCGGAUGUGAAAUCCCGGGGCUCAACCUCGGAACUGCACUCGAAACUGCACGACUAGAGUACGGGAGAGGGAAGGGGAAUUCCAGGUGUAGCGGUGAAAUGCGUAGAUAUCUGGAGGAACAUCGGUGGCGAAGGCGCCUUCCUGGACCGAUACUGACGCUGAGGAGCGAAAGCGUGGGGAGCAAACAGGAUUAGAUA